AAAUUGAAGAGUUUGAUCAUGGCUCAGAUUGAACGCUGGCGGCAGGCCUAACACAUGCAAGUCGAACGGUAACAGGAAGCAGCUUGCUGCUUUGCUGACGAGUGGCGGACGGGUGAGUAAUGUCUGGGAAACUGCCUGAUGGAGGGGGAUAACUACUGGAAACGGUGGCUAAUACCGCAUAACGUCGCAAGACCAAAGAGGGGGACCUUCGGGCCUCUUGCCAUCAGAUGUGCCCAGAUGGGAUUAGCUUGUUGGUGAGGUAACGGCUCACCAAGGCGACGAUCCCUAGCUGGUCUGAGAGGAUGACCAGCCACACUGGAACUGAGACACGGUCCAGACUCCUACGGGAGGCAGCAGUGGGGAAUAUUGCACAAUGGGCGCAAGCCUGAUGCAGCCAUGCCGCGUGUAUGAAGAAGGCCUUCGGGUUGUAAAGUACUUUCAGCGGGGAGGAAGGUGUUGUGGUUAAUAACCGCAGCAAUUGACGUUACCCGCAGAAGAAGCACCGGCUAACUCCGUGCCAGCAGCCGCGGUAAUACGGAGGGUGCAAGCGUUAAUCGGAAUUACUGGGCGUAAAGCGCACGCAGGCGGUCUGUCAAGUCGGAUGUGAAAUCCCCGGGCUCAACCUGGGAACUGCAUUCGAAACUGGCAGGCUUGAGUCUUGUAGAGGGGGGUAGAAUUCCAGGUGUAGCGGUGAAAUGCGUAGAGAUCUGGAGGAAUACCGGUGGCGAAGGCGGCCCCCUGGACAAAGACUGACGCUCAGGUGCGAAAGCGUGGGGAGCAAACAGGAUUAGAUACCCUGGUAGUCCACGCCGUAAACGAUGUCUACUUGGAGGUUGUGCCCUUGAGGCGUGGCUUCCGGAGCUAACGCGUUAAGUAGACCGCCUGGGGAGUACGGCCGCAAGGUUAAAACUCAAAUGAAUUGACGGGGGCCCGCACAAGCGGUGGAGCAUGUGGUUUAAUUCGAUGCAACGCGAAGAACCUUACCUGGUCUUGACAUCCACAGAAGAAUCCAGAGAUGGAUUUGUGCCUUCGGGAACUGUGAGACAGGUGCUGCAUGGCUGUCGUCAGCUCGUGUUGUGAAAUGUUGGGUUAAGUCCCGCAACGAGCGCAACCCUUAUCCUUUGUUGCCAGCGGUCCGGCCGGGAACUCAAAGGAGACUGCCAGUGAUAAACUGGAGGAAGGUGGGGAUGAC
rnacentral:rRNA from 1 species